UACUCCUACGGGAGGCAGCAGUGGGGAAUAUUGCACAAUGGGCGAAAGCCUGAUGCAGCGACGCCGCGUGAGCGAAGAAGUAUUUCGGUAUGUAAAGCUCUAUCAGCAGGGAAGAACAAUGACGGUACCUGACUAAGAAGCACCGGCUAAAUACGUGCCAGCAGCCGCGGUAA
rnacentral:rRNA from 1 species